GACGAACGCUGGCGGCGUGCCUAAUACAUGCAAGUCGAACGCUGAAGCGAGGAGCUUACUCUUCUUGGAUGAGUUGCGAACGGGUGAGUAACGCGUAGGUAACCUGCCUUGUAGCGGGGGAUAACUAUUGGAAACGAUAGCUAAUACCGCAUAACAAUUGAUGACACAUGUCAUUUAUUUGAAAGGGGCAAUUGCUCCACUACAAGAUGGACCUGCGUUGUAUUAGCUAGUAGGUGAGGUAAUGGCUCAACUAGGCGACGAUACAUAGCCGACCUGAGAGGGGUAAGCAGCAAACCUGGAAUUGGGCAACGCCCAGACCCCGUCGGGAGGCAGGAGUAGGGGAACAUCGGAAGAGGGGGGAACCCUGAACGAGGAACGCCGCGGGGGUGAAGAAAGGUUUCGGAUCGGUAAAGUCUGUUGUAUGGCAAAGAAAGGCGUCAGGGUAAAAAGUUCACGCUGUGACGGUAGCUUAACAGUAAGGGACGGCUAACUACGUG
rnacentral:rRNA from 1 species